rnacentral:rRNA from 1 species
GUGCCAGCAGCCGCGGUAAGACGAAGGUGACAACCGUUACUCGGAAUCACUGGGCAUAAAGCGCGCGUAGGUGGCUGGGUAAGUCCAUGGUGAAAUCCCUCGGCUCAACCGAGGAACGGCCGUGGAUACUGCCUGGCUUGAGGUCGGGAGGGGAAAGUGGAACUCUCGGUGUAGCGGUGAAAUGCGUAGAUAUCGAGAGGAACGCCGGUGGCGAAAGCGACUUUCUGGACCGUACCUGACACUGAGGCGCGAAAGCUAGGGGAGCAAACAGGAUUAGAAACCCCUGUAGUCC